CUUUGUGCUCUCCUUGUUGUCUGUUGCCAGUUCGUCUUUGCUUUUCAUAGCCAGCGUUCCAACCUUUUGUUCCUCGUGUAUAGGGAACGGGAAUGUGACGUCACCGACGGCAGGACGGCCAUUUUUGGAGGAUAAAGGGCUGAUUCUCCACGGUUAACCUCUCAUUCAAAAGCAUUUGUCCUCUUCCACGGCCUGCUGAAUCAACACAACUCCUCCUGUCUCUUCUGUUUCCUGUACAAAACAAGGACACAUCAUCUCUUUACAGUUUGAUUUCAUGCAGGUUUCACCCUCUAAUGGCGCAUAGAGCGCGAAACCAAAUGACUCCAUCUCCUGUUGUGACAAGGCCGUGUCAACAGGUUCCCUACACACAGAUCUGGGGCCUCAUUUCCUGAUAACGGGCGCUCUGAGAGGUGCUGAAAUGUUGUUCACUUGAUUCCAUAAUGGCUGAUUUAUCUAAUUAUAUGUGCAUUUUGGGAUUAUAUAAAUACAUUGCGUGGUAAAAUAAAAUAAACGUAACAAAAGGCGAUAACUCAGAAA